rnacentral:rRNA from 1 species
CUUGUAGGCGGUUGGUCGCGUCUGCCGUGAAAUUCUCUGGCUUAACUGGGGGCGUGCGGUGGGUACGGGCUGACUUGAGUGCGGUAGGGGAGACUGGAACUCCUGGUGUAGCGGUGGAAUGCGCAGAUAUCAGGAAGAACACCGGUGGCGAAGGCGGGUCUCUGGGCCGUUACUGACGCUGAGGAGCGAAAGCGUGGGGAGCGAACA